rnacentral:rRNA from 1 species
AUGGGGAGCCCCAAGCUUUUCUCCCUUCUCCCCUUCCUCUUGUUCGCCCUUGUCGCCGCCGGGGAGGCCGGGGACGAGCUCGGCACGUACGUCGUCCACGUUCAGCCCAAGGAGAACCACGUGUUCGGCACGACCGACGACCGGAAGGAGUGGCACCAGUCCUUCCUCCCCGAUAAUGGCCGUCUCCUCCACUCGUACCACCACGUCGCGAGCGGCUUCGCGGCGCGGCUGACGCGGCGGGAGCUCGACGCCGUCUCCGCCAUGCCCGGGUUCGUCGCCGCGGUGCCGGACGUGGUCUACCGCCUGCAGACGACGCACACCCCACGGUUCCUCGGGUUGAACACGGCGCUGGGCUAUAGGAACCCGUCCAUUGGGUCCGGCGACGGCGUCAUCAUCGGGGUGCUCGACACCGGCGUCUUCCCCAACCACCCCUCGUUCAGCGGCGAAGGAAUGCCGCCGCCGCCCGCCAAGUGGAAGGGCAGGUGCGACUUCAACGCCUCCGCGUGCAACAACAAACUCAUCGGUGCCCGGAGUUUCAUCAGUGAAGGUAGCUCUUCCGGCGGGCCUCCGACCGACGAGGAAGGGCACGGUACGCACACGUCAAGCACCGCGGCCGGAGCCCUCGUGCCGGGCGCUCAGGUGCUUGGCCAGGCCAAUGGCACCGCGUCCGGGAUGGCGCCCCGUGCGCACCUCGCCAUGUACAAGGUUUGCAGCGAGGACGGAUGCGCCAGCGUGGACAUCCUCGCCGGCAUCGACGCCGCCGUGUCCGACGGAUGCGACGUCCUCUCCAUGUCACUCGGCGGAGAGUCGGUGCCGUUCUACCACGACAGCAUCGCUGUCGGCACGUUCGCCGCGGCGGAGAAGGGCAUUUUCGUCAGUAUGGCCGCCGGCAACGCCGGCCCGAACUACACCACGCUGUCCAACGACGCACCAUGGAUGCUCACCGUCGCCGCGAGCACCAUGGACCGUUUGAUCAGCGCUAAAGUGAUCCUCGGAGAUGGUCUCUCCUUCGACGGCGAGUCGGUCUACCAGCCCGACUCCGUGGAGGCCCCGUUGGUGUACGCCGGCGCGAGCUCGACGCCCUUGGCCCAGUUCUGCGGCAACGGCUCGCUGGACGGCUUCGACGUCAAGAACAAGAUAGUGCUCUGCGAGCGUGGCAACGAUGUUGGGAGGGUUGACAAGGGCAUCGAGGUGCUAAGAGCCGGAGGCGCCGGCAUGAUUCUCAUCAAUGAGUUCAUCGACGGCUACAGCUUGCUCGCCGAUGCGCACGUCCUGCCGGCGUCGCAUGUCAGCUACGCCGCCGGAGUGGAGAUCAAGAACUACAUCAAGUCCACGCCCAACUGUACGGCUAAGAUCUCCUUCAGAGGCACGGUCCUCGGCACGUCGCCGGCGCCGGCGAUUACCUCCUUCUCCUCCCGUGGCCCCAGCACCCAGAACAUGGACAUUCUGAAGCCGGACAUCACUGGCCCUGGCGUCAGCGUGCUCGCCGCGUGGCCGUUCAAGGUAGGCCCGCCGACAUGGUAUAACGUGUCAACCGCGCCGACCUUCAACGUCAUCUCUGGUACGUCCAUGUCGACGCCGCACCUUGCUGGUAUCGCCGCGCUGAUCAAGAGCAAGCACCCUGACUGGUCGCCCGCCGCGAUCAAGUCCGCCAUCAUGACAACCGCCUACGUCACCGACCGCUCCGGCACGCCAAUCGUCAACGAGCAGCACAAGCCCGCCGACUUCUUCGCCAUGGGCGCCGGCCAUGUCAAUCCGGACAAGGCCGUGGACCCCGGCCUGGUCUACGACACUGCCACCGGCGACUACAUCGGCUUCCUCUGCGGCAUGUACACGGACCAGCAGGUCUCGGUGAUCGCGCGCCAGUCAGUCAACUGCUCGACCGUCCAGAAGAUCCCACAAAGCUUGCUGAACUACCCGUCGAUCUCGGUCUCGUUCGUGCCGGACUGGAGCCCCUUGGCCCCGGUGAUAGUGGAGCGCACGGUGAAGUACGUCGGACAGGCGGAGGCGGCCAUGUACCAGGCCCAUGUCGACAUGCCGGCGGGCAGCUUCGUGAACGUCACCGUUACUCCGGGCGUGCUCUGGUUCAGCCACGAGACGCCGGAGCAGAAAUUCACGGUGCUCGUGUUUCCGCUCAAUGCCAGCACAACGGCGGUGCAGGGCGCGAUUCGGUGGGUGUCAGACACCCACACCGUGAGGAGCCCCGUCUCGGCCAUGUUC